GUGGUGCUGAGUGUGAGAGCACUGUUUGGGGGUGCCUUAUACUAUGCCACAUAUAUCUGUCAUUGAAUUAGCGAAAGGGUCUCUUGGGGCCUUUUAUCUCCAGAGGGCUGCCCUGUAGCCAUUCUGCCUACUUGUGAGGCAAACCAAGAAAUAGGUGUCCUCUUCUGGCCUCCGUGACAUUUGGUGGUAUUACUAUAUCUCUCUAUGAAAGGGUUCACUUUCUGCCACCUUUUUCCCUCUUUCUUCCUCUCCUUUUGCAUUUUUUGGUCUUUUGAUAAUUUUACAUGCCUCCUGUUUGUAGGUAUUUUGUGCAAAAAAAAAGUUGAUUCCUGUGUUAGACACCUUCCCCCACAGUACUUAUAUGUGUUUUCCCUGAUUUCUGGAUGCGUAAGUACUGAAUUAUAGCAACGCCUUACAAGUGAUCCAGCCUGACAGCAUUACCGCUACUGUCAUCUGAUCCCGUGAUAGGCUAAAGUAUUGUUCAGCCAAAAUUUAUUCCCUUGUUUCUUCCACUUAGAUAGGAGUUUACCUUCCCCAUUGCCUUUGAGCUUUGCCAUUUAGCUCCUUGGCUAGUGGACUAAGUGGAUGUGAUGCAAGCGGAGGCAUCAAAAUGUUUUCACACAAUCGCAUGUGGACUCCUGCAUACGUGUGACCCAGCAUGCCUUGGGUAGAUGCUGCCCUUUCAGCCUGGCACCAGAACAAAGACAGGAGUGUGCCUGAAUUUAGCCUGCAGCCCUGAUCAAACCCAGCUGCCUCACAGCCUAAAGAAGAACACCCCAGUCAACCCACAGACCCAUGCGUGAGAAAAAUAAAUGCUUAUUGAAAC
rnacentral:lncRNA from 1 species